rnacentral:rRNA from 1 species
AUUGAACGCUGGCGGCAGGCCUAACACAUGCAAGUCGAACGGUAACAGGAAGAAGCUUGCUUCUUUGCUGACGAGUGGCGGACGGGUGAGUAAUGUCUGGGAAACUGCCUGAUGGAGGGGGAUAACUACUGGAAACGGUAGCUAAUACCGCAUAACGUCGCAAGACCAAAGAGGGGGACCUUCGGGCCUCUUGCCCUCGGAUGUGCCCAGAUGGGAUUAGCUAGUAGGUGGGGUAACGGCUCACCUAGGCGACGAUCCCUAGCUGGUCUGAGAGGAUGACCAGCCACACUGGAACUGAGACACGGUCCAGACUCCUACGGGAGGCAGCAGUGGGGAAUAUUGCACAAUGGGCGCAAGCCUGAUGCAGCCAUGCCGCGUGUAUGAAGAAGGCCUUCGGGUUGUAAAGUACUUUCAGCGGGGAGGAAGGGAGUAAAGUUAAUACCUUGACUCAUUGACGUUACCCGCAGAAGAAGCACCGGCUAACUCCGUG